GGGCUACCUGCCCGGUAUUUAUGCAGGUCUCCCACCUGGUGGACACUCCCCUAGGAGACCAAAUGGGAGACUGUGACAAAAGACAAACAAUCAGAAAAAUAGGACACACAGUCACAUUGUAUUCCCACAAUGCAUCCUGGCUUCCUCCCCUCUGCCCUGGAGAUAAUUAAGAAGUAAUUAAAUUAUCUCCCAGGACAAAGGAAAAUCGCCAUUAUGCACGUGGGGAUACUAAAACAUGAAUUACUAUUAAAAUACACAGUAUGACACAAGUUACAAUAAAACUAUACAUUUAACAUGUCCCCAGAUAGCUCAGGUCUGAGCGCACAUUAUUAAGCGAAUGGCGCUCAGACCACACGAAUACAGUGUAAUCGCCAUGGAGCCGUCAGUUCUCAUGUGAAUGGGCUCCAUGGGAUUCCUAUCUGGGGUAUAACAUAGUCAAGUAAAACUACCGAACACCGGGCCGUUCGUGCACUUUCACCGAACAAGAAGGGAAGUUGGCGGCUUCAGCGGUGUUCGCGCAAAACGGUGUCCGAUUUUAGUUCCAUGAAUUGAGCGUCGAACACCGCUGUGCGUUCGCGGGUUUAAAAUGGCCACGACCUCGUGUUCGUUAUACGAAUGGCGGCCACCCAGCAUUCGUCAAUUAAGCUGCGGUUAACCGCAGCUUCAGGGAGGCUAAUUGCCGGCACACUCCAGCUCCCAGGUGGUCUAGUCAUUCGUGCGGUUGUUCGGUAGAUUGAAUCUACCGAACACCAGGCAGAAAAGCACGAAUAAGUCUUUUCUGCAGGGAAAAAGAUGUCUUUUAACAAGGGGCCAUAGUCCAAAGGCAGCAGGCGAGCAACCAGGCUUCUCCAAUGCAAUGUGGCGAGAUUGCUCUCGUCACAACUAUCUACACUGGAAUACUUCCUUUAUCUCACACGAUUAUUCUCUAAUGUGAGAAUUUAAAGUUAAUUUCAAAUCUGAGGCCAGAGUAGCCAAAUUGAAACCACAGUUCCCUUAGAGAAUUUUUUCAGUUCGCCCUUAAGGACACAUGACGGAACUAUUAACCUGAAAUGCUGUUAAUUCACUUUAAAUUCUGACUUAAGUGAAUACCUUGGUCAGGAUAGAAAAUUGAAAUAUGUUAAUUGGGCACAAAUCACAUUGACAUACGCCUUGUAUUUUUACAUAUUUUUGGGUUUCAAAAAACCAGUUUAUCCUGCUACAUCAGUGUGUUAGAGCUGCCAUAGUCAAUGUAUUUCUUUCAGAAUAUUUUAGUUUGAAUUAUUUUACUCAAUACACGG